GCGUGUCCUAGACCCGAAGCGGAGUGAUCUACCCAUGGCCAGGUUGAAGCGCGUGUAAGAGCGCGUGGAGGACCGAACCCACUUCAGUUGAAAAAUGGGAGGGGGAUGAGCUGUGGGGUAGGGGGGUGAAAAGGCCCAAUCAAAACUCCCGUGAUAGCUGGGUUUCUCCCCCCGAAAAUGCAUUUUAGGGUGCAGCGUCACGUGUUUUCUUUCCCCGGAGGUAGAGCUACUGGAUGGACGAUGGGGCCCCUACAAGGUUACUGACUUCAGCCAAAACUCCGAAUGCCGGGGAAGUGAGAGCGUGGCAGUGAGACUGUGGGGGGGGGAUAAGCUUCAUAGUCGAGAGGGAAACAGCCCAGACCACCGGUUAAGGCCCCCUAAGCGUGUGCUAAGUGGGAAAGGAUGUGGAGUUGCUGAGACCAGGAGGUU
rnacentral:rRNA from 1 species